CAGAGCCCGCCCAGACCAGUCUUGUAUUGAUCACACCAAGCCCUGACUCCAGAGUUCCCUGGAGCUUAAGAGGCAGUGGGUGGUGGGACCCUCCCAGACUCAGUCCACCCACAGGUGGCCCAGGGCUGGCAGCAGGAAUGGUGCUGGAUUAUUUUGGGUUGUCUAUCUGGGGUGGGGGACUCCUGAGUCCUCUGUCAGCGUCUCGCCUUUCCUACUCACAGAGCCUGGCCCGCUUCCCUCUGCCAAUCCCAAGCUGCCAGUCAAUUGGAGAAUCUCCCUUCUCUCUAAACCCCCAUGAGCAAAACCUGCCCCCACCAGUCUUGUAUUGAUGACACCAAGCUCUGACUCCAGCGUCCCCUGCAGCUUAAGGGGCAGUGGGAUAGUAGGUCCCUUCCCAGACUCAGAAGUCCGCCCAUAAGUGGCCCAGAGCUGGAAGCAGGAGUGGUGCCAGAUUAUUUGGGAUCUUCUACCUGGGGUGAGGGCCUUCUGAGUCCUCCGUCAGCGUCUCACCGUGCCUGCUCACAGAGCCUGGGCCGCCUUCCCUCUGCCAAUCAGAAGCUGCUGGUCAGACCAGACCCGGAGUCUUGCUUCUGACCCCCAAUGCGCAAGUCAGUGGCAUCACAUCCGGACACCUGGGGCUUCCCUGGGUUGAAAGCAGGGGGUGGAACUGGAUGCUGCCCUAGGGUGGUGGAGUGAUGGGGUUUUUGAGUGAGGGAUGCGGGUAUGAGGGUGGUGGGGGGUUGGGGAGGAUACGGGUGCUGCUGGAGGAUGGGGGUGUGGAUGGCUCUGGGAGUGUGGAAGGGAAUGGGAAUGGGGUUGGGGGUGGGAAUGCAGGUGGACGACCCUCAACCCUCUCUUAGGGUCCUGACACUGGUGCAUGGCAGAGCCUGCCAUGUGUGAGGCCUCCUCACAGAGCCUGUGCCCACUUCCCUUUGCGCAUCUCGAGCUGCUCUGUUCAGACUGACAACCUCGUUUCUCUCUGAUCCCCAAUACACAAGUCACGACAUCACAUCCGGGUCAGUGACGUCACACCCGGGUUGACAGCAGGGGCGGAACCAGAUUCUGCCAAGGUGGGAGUUGGGGUGGGGUUGAGACAAGGGAUCCUGGAGGUAGGGGUUGGGGUGGGGAUGUCCCUCAGUCCUCCCUCAGAGUUCCGACCUUGAUUCCUGGCGUAGCGUGGACCCCUGUUCUCUGCCAAUGGUGUCUGCUCCCUUCAGACCAAGUUUUUGACUCCAAGUCUCCUAAGGUGGCAGUCGGGGGAGAGGUGUCCUUGGGCGACAAGGCCGCUGGGGUCUUCCAAGACUGACAGGAGGAGCUAAGCUGGAUUCU
rnacentral:lncRNA from 13 species